UGCCAAUUCCAUAGGUCACAG
rnacentral:miRNA from 1 species